AGAGGCAGAGCCUGUGGAGGAUGAGAGUCCAAUGAGGGAUGAGGAAGAGGAGGAAAAGAUGGAGGAGGACGACGCACCCAUGAUGAGUGAUGUUGGUGAUGAGGGGGAGUCACCAGAUGUUAUUCAGCCUGAGGAUGGUUCUGGAUAUUAUGAAGGCUCUGCAGACACAUUAAUGGACCGUUUGCCCUACUUUGUGAAUGCUGAAAGUGAGCCAGGCUCCGGCGAGUCCUGGACAGAGGAAGAAAGCAAAGGUGGGGAUAUGAAGCUCAUGAGGCGGUUGUUUCCUAGCAGGUCUCUGGUUGGUGAGGAGAAACCAGCAGAGCAGGAGCUGAGAGAAGACCACCUUCUGCAGCCGUAGACUGUACACCCACCCACUAACAGACACACACACAUACACAAGGCUGGCAUCUAUUUUAUUUCCACCCUGUCUAUUCAAAUAGUAAAACAGAUAUUGCAUCACCACCUGGUGGUGGAAAAACCUGGUCACUCAGAGAUUGACAAAGGCCAAAUAUAUAUUUUAUAUUUGCAGUGUUAUUGGUGGUAAUUAUUCUCCCCUGGGGCAAAAGAACAACUGCAAUCAAUGAAAAAGUAGCUGCCAAAAUAAAAGAAUGGUCUGCAUACAUGAGACAUACUCUCACUUUAGUUUAAGUUGGCCUCAACUUAUACUUGUGCUAUCUUGUGGAAAAGAUGUGGAAGUUGGAAUGUGCUUUUUAAUACAAAAUCUCAAAUAUGCUUUCUUAUAAUUAUAAUACCAGUGCAAUAAGAUGACACCUUUGUCAGUGCAUUGCUUACUCUGUGCAGCUGCAGUUCAAAUCAUUUUACUUGGAGCUGUGAGGCUUGUGUUCCUUUAAAACACACCAAACGAAGACUUAUUUAUAUUAUUUCAUCCCUUUGUCUCAAAUGUUGUGACACUUUACACUUACCCAGGAGGGCUAUGCAACCUACUUUGGGAGCUUCUGGUCUGCAAGAUUUAAAAAGAGAAAAUCUUGCAAACCCAAAUCCCUCAGGAAUGGAUUCACGCAANNNNNNNNNNNNNNNNNNNNNNNNNNNNNNNNNNNNNNNNNNNNNNNNNNNNNNNNNNNNUACACACAGACACACCCCAACUCUUCACUGCUGAACAGCCAGAGGUGUGAGCGCUGCCCCACUAUCUCCUGAGACUGAGAAAUGUCUGUAUACAUAAAUACACACAACAUACCUUUAGACACCCCACCCUCGCCCCACCUUCACAGCUUCAGGUGUGAGUGGUCUCACCACCAUCACACAACCUCCCCCAGGACUGAAACACGCUCGCAUACAGAUGCACAAGCAUACAAUCCAAGAAGGCCGAAUGCUAAAUGUCAAAUCAAACCAACCCAAGUAAGGAACAGUGAGACAGCCUAUUUUGAUCUCUGCGUCUCAGACUGAAAACACACUCACACACACACACCGCACACACACACACACACACACAAGUGAAGCCAUACAGUCUCGGUUUGCUUAAUGCAUUAUAAUACAGGAGCACAGAUGGAAAAGAGGAGAUGGCUACAGACAACCGCCACACAAUUUAUCCCAUUCUUCUGCAACAGGAGCUUCUUUUAUUUGCAUAUUUGGACCGCGCUUAUCCUGGACUUUCCGUGGCAUCCUCCCUCCCACACACCCUUUUUUAAAAUGACGCUCUCCAGAGUCUAGCCAGUGAUGUGAAAGUAUUCAAGAUGCGGGGAUCGGCCUGAACGGAGGACGUGAGAGGCUAAGCUCUGAGUCAACACACAGUCUCUGUGUUUAUUCACAAUACCCGAGUUUAAGCUACCGUGAUGCUCUUGUUCAUCUGUCUAGCACUUCUGAUGCAACAGUCGUCCACAGACGGCUCUUUCCAUGCAAAUGUCUGCUUAAUUAGGACAUUAAGAGUUUAAUGCAACAAAUGUCCAUCUCAACAUAAAUGCUUCCUAUUUUUUAUCUUCUAAUGUGGCUGUUUUGUAAAAUGAAAACAUAUUCCUCUCAGACAUACAUAUUCCAUGUUUCCAGUCUCAUUUCAUACAAACUGUUUUUGAUUUAAGGUGGACAUUAUCAUUUCAGUGUCAUUUAUUUCAAACAAUCUUUUUCAAACUGGACCUAAUGAAUAUUUUCAUUAUCGGUUAAACUGCAGAUUCUCAGUUAAUUAAUUAAUUGUUUAGUCUAUUAUAGAGAGUUCCUUGAAAUAAUGACUGAAAACAAUGAAUCGAUCAUCCAAAUAUUUGCCAGUACGUCUUAUAAACGAUUGAUUAAACAGUUAAUCGGCUAAUGGUUGCAGCUCUUAAAGCAUCAUACAUUCAAAUGCUCUGCUUGUUAAAGAUUCUCAAGCUCAAUACAACAUUUCAGUCUCUUGUUAAGAUGAAUAUUUGAUGCAGUUUUCACUGAUGGGCUUUGUCGGGUUACUACAGGAUUGCCUCUAAAUGUAUCUAAAGAUUCCUUCUUGUGUUUUUCUAAAGUCAAGAUGUUUCUCUGGCACGGGACACUUUGUUUGAUCUCUAAAGUGCCAUUUAUUUAUGACUAAUCUUUAAGAAUAGAAACCUUUUUUGUUGUUUGUCUUCCAGAGCUAUUUAAUGGUCGGUUCACCGUAAUUACAAAAAGAAGAGAAGAGUUAAAUUUCAGCGCUUUGAGCACCGCAAAUGGAUUUCCAUUCACCUCCACUUUACUGGAGUGGAGGACGAAAUUCCAGAGAGAUAUCUCCAAACUUGGAUGCUAUAAAUCUGUAUGGCUAAAUGGGAAAUAUGUUCAUUUGUAAUUUGGUUGAACUGAACCUUUAAAUUCCUGCGUCAGGGUCGGUGUCUGCUGACUCUGACUUCAGUUGAUAUAAGAAAUUCUUCAAUUUCUAAAAUUCAAAGCUUAAAAAAAAAGGUGGAAAGUUAAGGAAGUUGUCCGGCUACUUAUACCUGAGAGUGAACGUUCUGUCAAUCACUACACUAGCGGUUUCUGUUUACAUGUUAAAUGAUUCAAUAGAGAAAAAAAUGAAAUAACCAGCAGGCUGUAGUUUCACAGUUCUUGUCAGUUUUACUUUCCUUUCAUAGGGUGCUGCGUUUUUUUUGAGCCGGUCGGUUUGGUAUGAGUAGAAUACUAAUGUUAUUACAUGGCUCAUGUCUGCUAUUGUAAGCACUGGAAGGGAUGCAGUAUCAAUACACUGUAAAAUCCAACAAUGUUCCACUGUGAUGCUCAGACCGGCAGUUUAGGUCCCGCUUUAAAGACACACGCACAGACAGUUUGGUGAUGUUGCUGGCCUUGUGUGUAGGUUGAAUUUGCCCUUAAGCUCUGAUCUGUGGCCAGUUUUGCACUUUCCCCUCCAAUGCUUAACUUUGUUUAAAAGGGGGCAUGGAAGCUGAAACUAAACAUCAUUCAAGGACAACUUCACCUCAGAGAUCUCCUGUGUCUGUAAUGGAAAUGACACUGUCAUUUAUAUAUCACUACUUGUUUUAAUUGGACUUACUAAGUACAAUACUUUGUUGCUUUAUGUCUCUUUCAUAUGCAAGUCAUGCUGUUACAUGUUUUAUUUCAUAAACUUCUGGACACUCACAUGUAUAGUUCAGAUGUAUUUAUUCCUUUAAAAUAGUUUUGACCUCUUUUGUUUGGGAAUUGUAAUUUGUUUGCAAGUAAAGGCUUCUUUCUUUGUGCCUGUCAGACAUAUUUUCUGUCUCUGCACACUGUACAGGUAGGGUUUGUUGGGUGUACUUUAAAUACCUUCAAAGGUAAUGAAGAGACACUUAAAUGCCAAAACUCUCUGCCUCUGUCUUAUCUACUGCAUGUUGAUCUUUACACAAUGUCUAAUCAUGCCAUCGAUGUGUGUGUGUGUGUGUGUGUGUGUGUGUAUGAUAAUGUGUAUAUACACCAAACCCAAAUAUAUAGCUAAAAUGAAUCGUGAAUAAAGCAAAUUUAUACUGAAUAUCUUUUGAACAACACUCUUUCUUGAAGAGAUAAUUAUACACCGUACAGUCAGAAAACUUAAAAGUUAACAGAUACAUCUCAUCAUUUACGUUUGUCUUCAUCCUGCCUUUAAUUUCUUCAGGAUGACCACCUGUGGAAAGUUUAUGAGAGGUUUCAGAGAGAUUUUAAUUGUCUGACUCCCACACUGUAAAUAUUUUUGACAGUUGAUGAAACAGUGGCACACAGUACUCAGACUUUGAUAAUCUAGGCCAAACUCUCUCCUACUGCUUCCUUCUCCUGCAUUUACCAAAGCACCUUGAUUUUUAAUCUGUCGUCCAGAUGCAACUCUCCAGCCAAAGAUUUAGCAUUUCUUCACCAGAAUUAUAUUAAUGUAGGAGUGGAAAAAGUCCUCAUAGUAUAUGUAAGAUAAAACAUAUAGAAUUAAUAAAAUGAAUUAAUGAAUUUAAUGGUGGCUUGUCAAACUGUUUCUGUUGGGGGCGGGGUUAAGAUGUCAGUAUGUCUAUAAUUCAGGCUGUGUGGAACAAAACAAACAUAGUAGAGAUGUUUUUAUUAACUGACAUAAUUUACCCGACACAAAUGGGCCCAUCCUGUAAAUAUUUGGAAACCACAAACAGAAAGUAUUUUCUGAAGAGUUAAUACAAGUGAACACAUUGCUCUGGGUCCUUCAAAGAUCGUUUUUAGUCGGUAUUUAAGGCAGGCAAUGUCCGGAAAGACGCUGAAAGCGGGACAUUAUUCUGACGGCGUGGAGAUCAUGAUGUUUUAUAAACGAUCUGCGGAUUCAACCAUACAGGAGUCCAAUAUUUUGCCUUGUUGAUAUUUCUCCCCCUUCUGCACGACAAUGUUAAAAACAAAAUACUUUUUCGGUCAUAUUAAUUAAUCUGAACAAUUGUAUCUUACUUAAACGAGGAGCUAUCAUUGCGCUUUAAGUAGUCAGUUUAUGCUCAAUGUCAACUCAGGCACAUCUGUGGGCAGCUAAAUAAUGGCUGGUCCUACCCCACGUUGAGUUAGCAUGAGAGUGAGUGUGUUGACCGUCCUCUGGUGAAGUUGGUUGUGUGUAAUUCAAAUAUUUAGAGCUGCUGAGCAACAUGGAGCGACAGUAGCACAGUUUUUUUGAACGUGGCCGACAGAAGGAGCUCACAGCCGGGAUAAAAAACGACUCGCAGCGAUGUCGGUAAACCGGUGUUUGUAUUUGUUACCCCGGCUUCAACGCCACAUUAGCCCCCGCACUGCUCGCAUCACCGCCNNNNNNNNNNNNNNNNNNNNACAUUUUCAGUCGUUUACAGCAGACUGGCGUAAAAUGCAAGGCUGCUUCAUUA
rnacentral:lncRNA from 15 species